UUCCCGGUUAGAUGGCGGCCGAGGCUGCCGGGUGCUCCGGAAGCGCUUGAGGUUCGGGGCGGGCCAGGGUCGGAACAUGGCGUGGAGCUGCUGGGCCCGGCUCUGCAGCCGAGAGGCGCUGAGCGGCCGCCGCUCUCGGGGCCACAGGUUUACUUUAUAUACACAGCAGAGAAAUGGAUUCAAAAGAGUGCCACAAAAGACUGAACCUCGAAAACCAGACCAAGAAACUGGCUCCAAACCAUACAAAAGUAGUCUGUCUCCUCCAGUACAGGAAACAAUCUUUUAUACUUCUUCCCCUUCACUGAAGCAUCUUGUGAAGCCAUUCUUUUUCACAAUUGGGUUUACAGGUUGUGCAUUUGGAUCAGCUGCUAUUUGGCAGUAUGAAUACCUAAAAUCCCGGGUCCAGAACUAUUUUGAUGAGGCUCGAGCAGAUUGGAUGGAUAAGUUACAACCUCAGAAAAGUGGGGACUUCAGAAAGCAGGUUAACAUGUGGUGGAAUAGCCUGAGUGAGGGUCAGCGGACUGUGACAGGUAUCAUAGCUGCAAAUGUCUUUGUGUUCUGUUUAUGGAGAAUCCCUUCUAUGCAGCGGACAAUGAUAACUUACUUCACAUCUAAUCCAGCCUCUAGAGUCCUUUGCUCUCCCAUGCUGCUCUCUACAUUUAGUCAUUUCUCUUUGUUCCACAUGGCUGCAAAUAUGUAUGUGUUGUGGAGUUUUUCUUCAAGUAUAGUUUCUCUUUUGGGACGUGAGCAGUUCAUAGCAGUGUACCUUUCUGCAGGUGUUAUCUCCACAUUUGUCAGUUACAUCAGUAAAGUAACUACUGGAAGAUUUGGACCAUCACUUGGAGCUUCAGGAGCUAUAAUGACUGUCCUUGCAGCAGUAUGUACGAAGAUGCCAGAAGCAAAACUAGCCAUCAUACUUCUUCCAAUGUUCACAUUUACAGCAGGAAAUGUGAUCCCCCACUUGGAGCAACGCUGAGCUGCUGGACCUCAUCAGCAUUUGAGGAGAGGACGCUGCACAGUCCCAGCUGCGCUCCAGCCAUAGGAAUUAUGAUACCUACGGACAGAUUUCACAAUGCAUGACAGAAAGGGGCCAUGACUGGGAUACACUGCAGUGUAUGAUCAAAACGAAGGAGCUGUGGAACACCUACCACAAGGCGCGGGAGGCAAACUGCUGCUCCAGUGCUGCGCCCACAAGCUGCCGGUUCUAUAAAGAGCUGGACACAAUACUCAGGGUCGACCCCACCUCCACUGCAAAGGCCACUGUGGAUACUUUGGUGGCUCACAUGCCAGUUGGAGUGGACCAAGACAGGAGGAGGAAAUCUUGAACGAGGAUGUGGAGGGGAAGAGGGGCCCAAAGGCAGAGGACACCUUGGAGGUCAGAGAUGCAUGCAGCCCCGAGCUCUUCUCUACCCUGGAGGAGGCUAGCCAGUCACAGCUGUUGGAGCUUGGUGAAGUGCAAACAGGAAAGGAGGCCCCUGAUAUGACUUUGGGAGCCCAGCCUCCCUCUCUAUUAUCUCCAGCUGAACGGCUGCGCAGAAUUAGAAAGAACUAAAGAGGACUUUCUGUAUGAUGUCAUGAUACACUCUGCGGCUGAAAAACAAGAAUUGAAGGAGUGGCGGGAUGGCAAGAAGAGAGACCUAAAUGAGAACGCGGCAUGCCAGAACAAAGCCACGGAGUGGCUCUUAAACGUUAUGGAGCGCCAAGCAGACAUGCUCCAGGCUUUAAAAGCCAUUAUUGCAAUGGACACCGCAGGACUUGUUUUGGGUUGGAAAUUUUUUGACCAUGCAGCACAUCUUGGGGGAGC